rnacentral:rRNA from 1 species
GCAUAUCAAUAAGCGGAGGAAAAGAAACUAACCAGGAUUGCCUCAGUAAGGGCGACUGAAGUGGCAAUAGCUCACCAUGUGAAUCUGCGUAAGCCGAAUUGUGGUUUCGCUUGUGUUAGGGGCUGGGCCAAGUCCGUUGGAACACGGCAGCUGAGAGGGUGAGACUCCCGUUUGCCUGGCCCUUGGAACAAGUGUGUUCGAGUCGAGUUGUUUGGGAAU